AUUUGAUUAACAAAUUAAAGCACUUGACUGCGUCUUUUUCAUUUUCGAAAUUCCUUUAUAAUUGUUAUUCAAGGAUGUAGAUUAGCUUAUAUUAGAAUGUUGCUUCAAAAAAGGUACGCUAUUCGAUUGGUUACAAUACAAUAAUUUUUAACUCCUAGGCUGGAUUCUCAAUCAAUAUACUGGAUUACAACGGAUAAGUACAAUCUUGGCUCUGAAGUUAAUGGUUAUUACAGCAAGCUUUGAUAUCAGUGUAGACUCUACCAUAAGUAUAAUGAAUAAAAUGAAUCUUAGUCAUCUUACCCAAAUAAUAAAAAGGGAAUGAAAAUUCGGACAUUUGUUAAGCUUGACAGCUCAGAGAUACCGACUCUUGGGAUGGCGAUAUUAUUACUUGGAUCAGGCAACAAGGGACAAAAAGGACCAAAGGAACAGAAGUAAACAAAGCUACAAAAUAUUCUACUUGUUUGCGAUUCUUAUGAUUUUACUUCAUGCUACUGUGCUUUCAACAAUCAAAUGGUUGAUCCAAAUAGGCCUAACAAAAUGAGUCUGGUUGCUGGUUUUUCAAUGGGGGAGACAAAGUAAACAGUACCAUCACAAUCAGCAAAAACGUAGUUGAAGACAAAGGAACCCAAAAAUGGAUUGGUUUAAAGGCAAACCAUGAUGAUGACCAAAGCUGAAAUAACUGUUGGGAAAAACUGGAAUAACCAGAGUUUUUAACCUUAAGAGAGGUUAAAUCCCAAAACUCAAUUCAAGUUAUUCCUUUGUUUUAUGUGUUAAACAAUGUUAUUCUUCUCGUUCGGAUGAGAGUGGUUGUGAUGAUAGGAUUAUCAUCCAUUCCUCAUCAGAACCACUCUGAUCCUCAUCCUCAUCUUUCCCUUCCUCUUCGCUUUUUCUUCACCUUUUGUUUCCCUCAACUCACGCAGUUAAAUGGUUCAAGUCAAACUAAUUUAUUCAACAUGAGCAAAAGGCAAUUCCUAUGCACAUGCCUUUCCAAAAAUAUAUGGCAUUUUUUUCACCUCGAUCGAUAGGAUUGUGAAAGUUUUUGUGCCUGAUAUAUCUUGGAAUCCUCCAGACUCCAUCAACAUCAACCUUAUCCUGUUAUAUUUUCCUUUUCAAUCUUCUAAC